rnacentral:lncRNA from 10 species
GCAUCUUGGGGCGGAAAGGAAUCAGAGUCAGAUCAAGAACAGGAGGAAGAGAUCGAUAUGACAUCAGAAAAAAGUAAGAAUUUAAAGAAAAUUGAGUUUGUUUGAAAGCUGGCUACCAUAAAAAGAAGCAUGAAUUAAAAUGCAAGCUAGUUGCUAUUACUAACCACUAUAGUAAUUACAUUUUUAUAUUAUCCUUAUUAAUCAUUAAUAUAUUUAUAAAAGCAGCUUGGCCAGUUAAAUUACAAAUAUACCUAAUUUGCGAGCUAAUUAGCAGUAAAAUGCAAUGAUUAUUCAUCUAAGCAUUCACUUUCUUUUGACAUUCUUGUUAACCCUGGUAUUGCUGUUAUGCUUGUUUAGAAACCCACCCUACCGUUUUGUCCAUUUGUUAGCAAAACACUGUCAUCUCAUCAUUUUUUAAGCACUGACAUGACAGUAUCACUUUUUAUGUAAUGCAAUAGUGACUUCUGUAGAGAGCUCAUUAUUUUUGUAGGAUACACCUGCAAAAGUGAUACUGUCUAAUAGUUCUUAGCUGAAGCUAACCCCAUCCAAUGCCUGCCCCCUCCCCCAUCACUCUUUUGCACUUUUUACUGUGGUGAAGUGUAACCAAUGUCUUUAGAGCUGAGGUCUAACAGACU